rnacentral:rRNA from 1 species
GAUAAACGCUGGCGGCGUGCAUAACACAUGCAAGUCGAACGAUGAAGAUUAAAAGAUUUCUUCGGAAUGAACUUAAUUGGAUUAGUGGCGGACGGGUGAGUAACGCGUGAGUAACCUGCCUUGUACAAGGGGAUAGCCGUUGGAAACGACGAAUAAUACCCUAUGACAUCAAAUAAUCGCAUGAUAAUUUGAUCAAAGAUUUAUCGGUAUAAGAUGGACUCGCGUCUGAUUAGCUAGUUGGUAGAGUAAAAGCCUACCAAGGCAACGAUCAGUAGCCGGCUGGAGAGAGUGGGCGGGAAGAUUGGGACGGAGACAAGGCGCAGACCAAUACCAGAGGCAGCAAUGGGGAAUUAUGAACAAGGGGGGAGAGGCUGAAGCAUCGUGGCCGCGAGAAUGAAAAGGCAUUCGGAUAGGAAAAAUCUUUUGUAUGGGAAGAAAAUGACAGUACCAUACGAAUAAGGAACGGAUAAUUACGUG